CGCACCUUGCGCCCUUUGGUAUUCCGAAGGGCACACCUGUUUGAGUGUCAUUAACUUCUCAACCCUAACAUUUUUUUCAACGAAAGUGUUGGUGGCUGGAUGUUGAGCGUUGCUGGACUUUUUUCGGUUCAGCUCGCUUUAAAUUUAUGAGCAGGCUCCUAUUGCUUCGGACUGACUCAACGUGAUAAGCAAAUUUCGUUGAGGACGCUUUGGCGGCCGAAUUGUAGGGUAGUGCCGCUACUAGUUAAUUAUUAUCCUUUAGACCUCAAAUCAGGUGGGACUACCCGCUGAACUUAA
rnacentral:misc_RNA from 1 species